ACUCCAAGCCCGGCCGCCUGUGUCCAUCCGGAUAUGGCGACCGGGCCGUGGCCUCCGGGCCACCGGGUCGGACUGGAAACGGGCCGGCCUCCCCGUAUCGGAAUGGAGCACAUC
rnacentral:ncRNA from 1 species